rnacentral:rRNA from 1 species
UGGGGAAUAUUGGACAAUGGGCGCAAGCCUGAUCCAGCCAUGCCGCGUGAGUGAUGAAGGCCCUAGGGUUGUAAAGCUCUUUCACCGGUGAAGAUAAUGACGGUAACCGGAGAAGAAACCCCGGCUAACUUCGUGCCAGCAGCCGCGGUAAUACGAAGGGGGCUAGCGUUGUUCGGAUUUACUGGGCGUAAAGCGCACGUAGGCGGACUUUUAAGUCAGGGGUGAAAUCCCGGGGCUCAACCCCGGAACUGCCUUUGAUACUGGAAGUCUUGAGUAUGGUAGAGGUGAGUGGAAUUCCGAGUGUAGAGGUGAAAUUCGUAGAUAUUCGGAGGAACACCAGUGGCGAAGGCGGCUCACUGGACCAUUACUGACGCUGAGGUGCGAAAGCGUGGGGAGCAAACAGG